rnacentral:rRNA from 1 species
UACGGGGGGAGCAAGCGUUGUUCGGAUUUACUGGGCGUAAAGGGCGCGUAGGCGGUCAGCACAAGUCAGUUGUGAAAUCUCCGGGCUUAACUCGGAAAGGUCAACUGAUACUGUGCGACUAGAGUGCAGAAGGGGCAACUGGAAUUCUCGGUGUAGCGGUGAAAUGCGUAGAUAUCAAGUGGAACACCGGUGGCGAAGGCGAGUCCCUGGACAACACCUGACACUGAGGCACGAAAGCUAGGGGAGCAAACAGG